rnacentral:rRNA from 1 species
UUAAGCGACUAAGCGUACACGGUGGAUGCCCUGGCAGUCAGAGGCGAUGAAGGACGUGCUAAUCUGCGAAAAGCGUCGGUAAGGUGAUAUGAACCGUUAUAACCGGCGAUGUCCGAAUGGGGAAACCCAGUGCAAUUCGUUGCACUAUCGUUAACUGAAUACAUAGGUUAACGAGGCGAACCGGGGGAACUGAAACAUCUAAGUACCCCGAGGAAAAGAAAUCAACCGAGAUUCCCCCAGUAGCGGCGAGCGAACGGGGAGCAGCCCAGAGUCUGAAUCAGCUUGUGUGUUAGUGGAACGGUCUGGAAAGUCCGACGGUACAGGGUGAUAGUCCCGUACACCAAAAUGCACAGGCUGUGAACUCGAAGAGUAGGGCGGGACACGUGGUAUCCUGUCUGAAUAUGGGGGGACCAUCCUCCAAGGCUAAAUACUCCUGACUGACCGAUAGUGAACCAGUACCGUGAGGGAAAGGCGAAAAGAACCCCGGCGAGGGGAGUGAAAAAGAACCUGAAACCGUGUACGUACAAGCAGUGGGAGCACCUUCGGGUGUGACUGCGUACCUUUUGUAUAAUGGGUCAGCGACUUAUAUUCUGUAGCAAGGUUAACCGUAUAGGGGAGCCGCAGGGAAACCGAGUCUUAACUGGGCGUUAAGUUGCAGGGUAUAGACCCGAAACCCGGUGAUCUAGCCAUGGGCAGGUUGAAGGUUGGGUAACACUAACUGGAGGACCGAACCGACUAAUGUUGAAAAAUUAGCGGAUGACUUGUGGCUGGGGGUGAAAGGCCAAUCAAACCGGGAGAUAGCUGGUUCUCCCCGAAAGCUAUUUAGGUAGCGCCUCGUGAACUCAUCUUCGGGGGUAGAGCACUGUUUCGGCUAGGGGGUCAUCCCGACUUACCAACCCGAUGCAAACUACGAAUACCGAAGAAUGUUAUCACGGGAGACACACGGCGGGUGCUAACGUCCGUCGUGAAGAGGGAAACAACCCAGACCGCCAGCUAAGGUCCCAAAGUCAUGGUUAAGUGGGAAACGAUGUGGGAAGGCACAGACAGCCAGGAUGUUGGCUUAGAAGCAGCCAUCAUUUAAAGAAAGCGUAAUAGCUCACUGGUCGAGUCGGCCUGCGCGGAAGAUGUAACGGGGCUAAACCAUGCACCGAAGCUGCGGCAGCGACACUAUGUGUUGUUGGGUAGGGGAGCGUUCUGUAAGCCUGCGAAGGUGUGCUGUGAGGCAUGCUGGAGGUAUCAGAAGUGCGAAUGCUGACAUAAGUAACGAUAAAGCGGGUGAAAAGCCCGCUCGCCGGAAGACCAAGGGUUCCUGUCCAACGUUAAUCGGGGCAGGGUGAGUCGACCCCUAAGGCGAGGCCGAAAGGCGUAGUCGAUGGGAAACAGGUUAAUAUUCCUGUACUUGGUGUUACUGCGAAGGGGGGACGGAGAAGGCUAUGUUAGCCGGGCGACGGUUGUCCCGGUUUAAGCAUGUAGGCUGAUUGUCCAGGCAAAUCCGGAUAAUCAAGGCUGAGGUGUGAUGACGAGGCACUACGGUGCUGAAGUAACAAAUGCCCUGCUUCCAGGAAAAGCCUCUAAGCAUCAGGUAACAUCAAAUCGUACCCCAAACCGACACAGGUGGUCAGGUAGAGAAUACCAAGGCGCUUGAGAGAACUCGGGUGAAGGAACUAGGCAAAAUGGUGCCGUAACUUCGGGAGAAGGCACGCUGGUGUGUAGGUGAAGCCCCUGCGGGUGGAGCUGAGACCAGUCGAAGAUACCAGCUGGCUGCAACUGUUUAUUAAAAACACAGCACUGUGCAAACACGAAAGUGGACGUAUACGGUGUGACGCCUGCCCGGUGCCGGAAGGUUAAUUGAUGGGGUUAUCCGUAAGGAGAAGCUCUUGAUCGAAGCCCCGGUAAACGGCGGCCGUAACUAUAACGGUCCUAAGGUAGCGAAAUUCCUUGUCGGGUAAGUUCCGACCUGCACGAAUGGCGUAAUGAUGGCCAGGCUGUCUCCACCCGAGACUCAGUGAAAUUGAACUCGCUGUGAAGAUGCAGUGUACCCGCGGCAAGACGGAAAGACCCCGUGAACCUUUACUAUAGCUUGACACUGAACAUUGAGCCUUGAUGUGUAGGAUAGGUGGGAGGCUUUGAAGCGUGGACGCCAGUCUGCGUGGAGCCAACCUUGAAAUACCACCCUUUAAUGUUUGAUGUUCUAACGUUGGCCCCUGACCGGGGUUGCGGACAGUGUCUGGUGGGUAGUUUGACUGGGGCGGUCUCCUCCCAAAGCGUAACGGAGGAGCACGAAGGUUAGCUAAUCCUGGUCGGACAUCAGGAGGUUAGUGCAAUGGCAUAAGCUAGCUUGACUGCGAGCGUGACGGCGCGAGCAGGUGCGAAAGCAGGUCAUAGUGAUCCGGUGGUUCUGAAUGGAAGGGCCAUCGCUCAACGGAUAAAAGGUACUCCGGGGAUAACAGGCUGAUACCGCCCAAGAGUUCAUAUCGACGGCGGUGUUUGGCACCUCGAUGUCGGCUCAUCACAUCCUGGGGCUGAAGUAGGUCCCAAGGGUAUGGCUGUUCGCCAUUUAAAGUGGUACGCGAGCUGGGUUUAGAACGUCGUGAGACAGUUCGGUCCCUAUCUGCCGUGGGCGCUGGAGAAUUGAGGGGGGCUGCUCCUAGUACGAGAGGACCGGAGUGGACGCAUCACUGGUGUUCGGGUUGUCAUGCCAAUGGCACUGCCCGGUAGCUAAAUGCGGAAGAGAUAAGUGCUGAAAGCAUCUAAGCACGAAACUUGCCCCGAGAUGAGUUCUCCCUGAGACUAUAAGUCUCCUGAAGGAACGUUAAAGACGAUGACGUUGAUAGGCCGGGUGUGUAAGCGCAGCGAUGCGUUGAGCUAACCGGUACUAAUGAACCGUGAGGCUUAACCUU